rnacentral:sRNA from 1 species
GGCGACUCAAAAUGAACGUGUACGUCUAUGCCUCCCGGAGUCACCACAAGCCCCUCAGCCGAAACAACCUCUGUGGCGCAUCCUAUAAUGAGCCCCGGGGUUAUAUUCAUGGUGUCGGGAUUUCCGGCCUUUCCUAUGCCUACAAUAACCCCGUCCUUAAUUCCUAUAUCUCCCUUGACUAUUCCUAUCAUGGGGUCUAUAAUGACGGCGUUUGUAACACAUACGUCAAGAACCCCGUCCUUCGUGGUCUUUCCCGACAUGUUUCCCAUUCCGUCUC